GCUACCUUGCAGCAUAAUUAAUUCAUACAUACAUAGAUAGCAUCCUAUUUUUCUUUGUCUCAUAUGCCCUAUACAAAUAUGUGCUAUAUAAGUGUUUCUUUGAUAUGUAAACCCCAUUGAUUGUCAAGUCUUGGCUUCUUAAUAUAUCUGUUAAAUGUUUUUAUAGGCUCUUUCCCAGUUACUUACUACACACAUUUCCUUUUUACUUUGGCAUUCAGUUUGCAGGACUUGCAUCUAAAAAAGAAAUCGUGGGCCUUGGAAACUGGUUGAUGACUCAAUUAGUGUCAAGUAAAGAUACUUUAUAUGAGGAAUGGAAAUUGCAGCUUGUUGCCACUAUGUAGUAAAUACUUUAACUACAAUAGAUGGAAUCUAGACUACUUCGAUUUCUGUAUAUUUGAGUUUGUUUUCUUUACCUGUCCGUUUGAUGAUUAUGAUUGAUACAACAAAUUCUGGUUUACUGAGUGAACAUAAGAACAGAUUAAUAGUGUUGUAAUAUACUAUUCAACUUAACUAUGAGUUGUAAUGUUACCCCGUUCUAAAA